UACGGAGGGGGCUAGCGUUGUUCGGAAUUACUGGGCGUAAAGCGCACGUAGGCGGCUUUGCAAGUUAGAGGUGAAAGCCCGGGGCUCAACUCCGGAAUUGCCUUUAAAACUGCAUCGCUAGAGUUGUGGAGAGGUAAGUGGAAUUCCGAGUGUAGAGGUGAAAUUCGUAGAUAUUCGGAAGAACACCAGUGGCGAAGGCGACUUACUGGACACAUACUGACGCUGAGGUGCGAAAGCGUGGGGAGCAGACAGG
rnacentral:rRNA from 1 species